CAGAAGUGCAGCUGGGGGCCAUUUUGUCAAGAAGUGCUUAUUUGGAAAAACAAAACAAAACAAAAAAUGAAAAAAAAAAAAAAAAUCUAUACAGGUGCAUGCCAGUCCCCCGGUAAUGAAAUGUAACAAAGGAAGCACUUAAGUUCAGUGAGGGAAAUACAGCUUUAAAUUACAGAUUGUACCCAGAGCACUUUAUAAACGGUAAUGUGUGAUAAUGUAUUAUCCUUACUUCUGUGAAAUUGUGGACUGCAACUUCUGCCGGGGCCAGUUAAAGGGCCAGGAGAUGGAGAGGGUUGCGUGAAUGCCAUUCAAGAAAAGGGCAACAGAGGCUAAGGGGUUAAACUCCCCAGAAAACCAAUUUAUGCAAAGGGCUGGAUCCUGACCGGCAUUCUGCACUAAAGAUCUGAAUUACAAAUUUAGAGAAUUUGCUGCUCGACAACGAAUGCAGGAAGGACCUCACUGGCUGCUGGGAACAACUGCCCUUUUGAAUGAAUUCUUUUAUGGUUACCAGUCAAAAAGUCACCGUCAGCUGGAACUGGAAGGGAGGUGUGUGUGUGUGUGUGUGUGUGCGCGUGUGUGUGUGUACGCGCAGUGGCAGCCAUUUCAGCUCAAUAGCUCCAUUCCUG
rnacentral:lncRNA from 1 species